CAGAGGUUGCAAGCGUUAAUCGGAUUUACUGGGCGUAAAGCGUGUGUAGGUGGUUGUCCAAGUCGGUUGUGAAAUCCCCGGGCUCAACCUGGGAACUGCUUCCGAGACUGAACGACUAGAGAUCGGUAGAGGGCGGUGGAAUUUCCGGUGUAGCGGUGAAAUGCGUAGAUAUCGGAAGGAACACCAAUGGCGAAGGCAGCCGCCUGGGCCUGAUCUGACACUGAGACACGAAAGCGUGGGGAUCAAACAGGAUUAGAUACCCUGGUAGUCCACGCCGUAAACGAUGGGUACUUGACGUCGGUACGCUCUGCGUAUCGGUGUCGCAGCUAACGCGAUAAGUACCCCGCCUGGGGGGUACGGCCGCAAGGUUG
rnacentral:rRNA from 1 species